CCUACGGGUGGCAGCAGUGAGGAAUAUUGGUCAAUGGGCGCGAGCCUGAACCAGCCAAGUAGCGUGAAGGAUGACUGCCCUACGGGUUGUAAACUUCUUUUAUAAAGGAAUAAAGUGAGGCACGUGUGCCUUUUUGUAUGUACUUUAUGAAUAAGGAUCGGCUAACUCCGUGCCAGCAGCCGCGGUAAUACGGAGGAUCCGAGCGUUACCCGGAUUUAUUGGGUUUAAAGGGGACGUAGAUGGGUUGUUAAGUUAGUUGUGAAAGUUUGCGGCUUAACCGGAAAAUUGCAAUUGAUACUGGCAGCCUUGAGAUCAGGUGAGGUAGGCGGAAUUCGUGGUGUAGCGGUGAAAUGCUUAGAUAUCACGAAGAACUCCGAUUGCGAAGGCAGCUUACGAAACUGCCACUGACAUUGAUGCUCGAAAGUGUGGGUAUCAAACAGGAUUAGAUACCCGAGUAGUC
rnacentral:rRNA from 1 species